GACGAACCGUGCGACCGUUGUUCGGAAUCACUGGGCUUAAAGGGCGCGUAGGCGGGCGAGCAAGUUCGGGGUGAAAUCUUUCGGCUCAACCGGAAAAGGGCCUCGGAGACUGCUCGUCUGGAGGGAGGUAGGGGCAGGUGGAACUGCUGGUGGAGCGGUGAAAUGCGUUGAUAUCAGCAGGAACGCCGGUGGCGAAAGCGACCUGCUGGACCUCUUCUGACGCUGAGGCGCGAAAGCUAGGGGAGCAAACGGG
rnacentral:rRNA from 1 species